rnacentral:misc_RNA from 1 species
GAUGAAGAACGCAGCGAAAUGCGAUAAGUAGUGUGAAUUGCAGAAUUCAGUGAAUCAUCGAAUCUUUGAACGCACAUUGCGCCCCUUGGUAUUCCAUGGGGCAUGCCUGUUCGAGCGUCAUUUGUACCUUCAAGCUCUGCUUGGUGUUGGGUGUUUGUCUCGCCUCUGCGUGUAGACUCGCCUCAAAACAAUUGGCAGCCGGCGUAUUGAUUUCGGAGCGCAGUACAUCUCGCGCUUUGCACUCAUAACGACGACGUCCAAAAGUACAUUUUUACACUCUUGACCUCGGAUCAGGUAGGGAUACCCGCUGAACUUAAGCAUAUCAAUAAGCUGAGGA